rnacentral:misc_RNA from 1 species
AAGUCGUAACAAGGUUUCCGUAGGUGAACCUGCGGAAGGAUCAUUAUCAAUAAUCCGAAACUUUUUUUUAAGUUUAUUCUUCAUUGAAUAGCUUAAAAAAAUAUCAACCAACCGUGAACUGUUUUUGCCUCCAACGAGGGGAAGGGGAACGUGCGGGUAACGCUGUGCUAGUACUUUUUUUUCUUUCGUUGGUUGUAUUUUUAUAAUUUUUAUUAUUAACCCUUCUAACAAAACCUUUUUUAAACUUUAAUUCUGAACUGAAUUAAUUUUCUUUUUCCUUUCUAACACAAAGGAAAAUUAAAAUAAAAAUACGAAAAAUUAUUAGAACAACUCUUAGCAACGGAUAUCUUGGUUCUC